UACCCCAAACCCAACACAAAACCCACACCACCCAACCCUCAAGUUUUCUUUUUUCUUUUCUUUUCCCUGGCCCCUUUUGCAAAGACUGGAAAAGAGGCCCAGAAAGUGCUGUUUGUAAAAAGAGAGAGGAGAGAGACAGAGAGAGAGACAGAAAGAAAGGAAGAAGAAGAAACUGAAAAGGGUCAGAAACGAGGCAUAAAGGCGGCCGGGGAACGCCCCGUGAAUUUUGAACAGAGAGCAGAAAAGCAACCCGAAAAAGCAAUUACCUAGGGACCGGACAUUCUUAAGAAGUGGUGAAUCCUCUUCUGAUUCUUCUUGUAAAGAAAGACCUGGUUGCUAUUAUUCCAGGUGUCACAACUCUGGCUUGUCAAGAAACACUCAAAAACCUCAUUUCCUGUUUGGGCAGGAAACUUCCUGGUAGAUGGGGAAAGCUGAAGUUGGGAGUCGUUAAGAGACUUAGCCAGGGCCACAAUACUGACAACUAGUUGUUAGACAUUUACCCGCACAUCCCUGGCACUGAAGCACACAGAAGAACCAGCAGAAGGACCGCACAAUUCUUGGAUGUUCCUUGAGUCUGGGACAAUUAUGGGAAGCCCCAGCGUAUUUUAAUGGAGUGGGAGAAGUGGGACUGAAUAAGUGACAGAACUACUCAGAGGCACCCAGUGCCUACCAGUGAUCAUGAGCUAUCUUGGGUGCUGUGCCACUGGGGAAGAAAAGAGAAACAGCCAGCAAAUGAGCUCUCUCCCCAUCCCACUGCGCCGACAAUGCGUAACAUUUCUGCUCAAACGCCCUCCUCUGCUGCUCUAAAGAUAAUAAUUUCGCAUUGCCAGCCAAAUGGGCACACCAACAAUUAUCUGUGUUCCUACUGUGUCGCAGCAUCAACUGAUAAUCAAGAGAAUUAUGUGCCAGUUGAAAGUAGAUUUAAAUAAACAGACGCUAAA